AACCCAUUAAGGCUUACAAAUGUGCCCAAAUGCAUCCCUGCUGUUGCUUUACUUUGCCUAGUGCCAGACAAUUUCACUCUUCAAGGGGCCGGAGAGUCUUGAACUUCAGUUUAUAAUGUGUAACAUGUUUGUGACACAAUGCCUGAAAUGUUUGCUUUAUGUAUUUUCAGGUUAAUAAUGGUGCUGGGCUAUAGCCUGGCUCCAAAUAUUGUUCUCAACAAUCAAGGAAUUCUGGAUUGAGUUGAAUUGACAAACUGGUGUUGUAAGGUAAGAAUUAACAAGAAUAAAUAGUCUGCUUUUAGUGCUCUACAUGAAGAAAAUGACAAACUGGCCCAGCUAAGUUAGUCACCCAGGACCUGUUCAAUAUGAGCCAUGCUGGCCUGUUGAACUGAGUUAGCUUACUUGGCCGGGCCAAGUUUUUAUUUGUUUCACAUGAGGCGGGCUAGCCUGGAAACUGCUAUAAGAAAUUCCCAAACAAUUUUAUAUAUGGUGGGAAAGCGAUAUUUGUUUUAAGGCGUAAAAAAAAAUCUGUGGUUUCGGUUCCCGACCGACCCUAUUUUUUGUGCCGACCUUAUUAUUUUUUCAAUGCAAUUGACUGUGUGACCCUAUUUUCUCCAGGUGAUUGUACAAGACCAUUUCGGCACUUGCAAGUCUGUCCAGCCAGACGAGUUAGCCUUGAUCUUGUAAACAGUCCAUGUAAGGACCUUGUUUGUAGGAAUUAUUACAUUUCUUGAUACUGCAUCAAAAAUUUAGUAAAUAUUAGCAACACAAUUACAUGUGAAUCCUAAAUCUACCCCCAAUGUAGCCCAUUGUAAGGUCAUGCUUCGACUACUCCUAUUCACACAGGCUGAGCAUGGAUAAAUUUGAUACAGGUACCAAUUUUAUCUGUGCCAUACUAGGCGCAAAAAAAUACCUGUGAUUCCGGUUCCCGAUCGACCCAAUUUUUUUAAAAGUGAUUGACUAUGCGACCCUAUUUUCUCCGGAUGGUUGCGGGCUGCUGCCAAAUGACACUGUUGUCACACUAAUUAUUGAAAAAUCCAUGAAAAAAUAUUUUUAAAAAAUUAUUUCCGACCUACCAACCCAAAUUUUUUUGCGAUCUGAAACUGGAACCACAGGUAUUCUUUUACGCCCUACUAGAUUAAUCUUGCUAUUUCAAUACCAAACAAUUGUACAUGUCCAGGGUCCUGAUGUAUUAACCCAAUUAGUGGCAGCACUCUUCCCCUGAGUCCCUGACGAGUUAAAUCGUCUGGCAUAGACAAAGUAAAAUAAUAAAGUAGGGCGCAUUAGGGGUUAGUUCCGGCCGGAACCCCGAUUUUUUAGAGUUCCGGUUCCGGCCGGAACUAGUAAAAAAAGCAUGGCCGGACCCGGAACUCUGUCGUUUUCAGAGAGAUAGAAUAUCAAACGUUUUUGUGUCUAACAAAAGGUCACAGUAGGAAGAAAUUUGGACUACGCAAGGGAAAUGUACACUACUAACACUUCAUUAUGACGUUUAACGCUUGUGAAUCUUUUUAUUCUAACAUUUGCGAGCUCUCUCCUUUAUGACUUGAAGUGUCUGCCUGUCUGGCAGCGGACAAUAAAUUAGUUCCGGUGUCACAGGAGAUUCGCCCCCCAGGAGAUUCGCCCCCCUCUCAAAAGGGGGGCGAUAUUCCUAGGAUAUUCGCCCCCCCCCCGGGGCGAAUCUCCUAGGAAUAUCGCCCCCCAGGGGGGCGAAUCUCCUAGGAAUAUCGCCCCCCUUUAGGAAUUUCGCCCCCCCUAUAAAUUUUGAAUUUUUGAUCUAAAAACAAAACGAUUGCAAGUUGAAAAGAUUUAUUGCGUUAUUUAUAUAUUACAAGGAGACAAACUUACAUAUACAUUUUAGGCUUCUUAGCACUGGUGUCAUGUUCUACACAUUUAAAGUGGAACCAUUGCCCACAGAGAUCGCAUAAAAUCAUGUUGUCGUAUUCUUUUGACAGUUUACAUUCACAUAACGUAUUAUGAAAAACAAUCGCUUGCAAAUUUUAUCAAUACCAGUGUUAACAAUAGCCGCCACAGUAAUCACUUGCUAACAAUAAACUAUAGGAUUAAUAAAAAAUCUAUGGAAUGUGUUGGGAAGUGUAUUGAUCAUUGUCCGUAGAAUCAUCAACUUUCCAUGUCAGUGACAGUGUUAGUGAUGUAAUCUUGAUUCUUGACUUCCGCGAAGAAAAUAAUUGCAUUAUAUAUGUGGUGUGACUUAUUCAAAUAAUUUCAUGAUACUUUGAUUUUAUUAGUGCCUCAAACAUUUAAGAAUGUAACUCUGCAAAACUAAAACUUUGAAACGUAUAUUAUUGGAGUAUUGCCUAUUGACAAGUUCUACCCUUCGCUUCUGAGAUUUACAAACUAUAUUGAAAUAAUGCAAGUAAAAAAUAGUGACAACUUAUAAGCCACACAUUUUCCAAUAACGACAAAACGUGGAUGCAAAUCAAUACCAAUAAUUACAAUAACCACCACGGUGAUUACUUUUUAACAAUGAGUUUAAGGAUUAACAGUGAAAAUGCAAAAUACGCAUGGUGUGCUGUGAAGCGUCAUAAGUUCUAUUGAUCUACUGUAACUGUGUAAGCCCUUUCGAUACAUGUAAUUGUAAGGGCUUGAAAUAACGUUCCCAAAGUUCCCGAUCAUGGUGAUCGGCAGUCAUAACUUUCCCUGCUUUUUUCAGGUUGGAAACCGAAACCCUGCUUUUCCGCCGAUUAUAAGCAAUUCCUUGCCGAUCAUUGAUCGGUGAUCGGUUGUUAUUUCAAGCUCUGCCUUAACAAUUUUGAAUUGAUACUGAUUUCAAAUGAUUAAAGCCAUGUAAUAAUUAUCCGAUGCAACUAUUAGGAAGGGCGAAACUUUGAACGGAGGGACGAAAAUCCUAAAGAAAAGGUGAAGUUUCUGAAGGGGGGCGAAUUUCCUAAAGGGGGGCGAAAUUCCUAGGAUUUUCGCCCCCCUGGGGGGGCGAUAUUCCUAGGAAUUUCGCCCCCCGGGGGGCGAAAAUGUAGGGGGGGGGCGAAAAUCCUGGGACACCGGUUCCGGCCGGAACUUUUUCCAGUUCCCGUCGGAUCCGGUUCCGGCCGGAACUUAAAAACUGGUUCCGGUGCACCCCUAGGGCGCAUCUUGGUGCAUUGGCACUUAAAGGGUUAAUGUAAUGUUACUGCGCUAGUGAUGCUAACCGUAUAAUGAAUUAAAGUUAUUUAAGAGAAGACAGUCAGUUGAGUAUCAUAUUUAGUCCACAAGAUAUAUUCCCCUUUAAACUGGAACUGUCGCAUGACAGAUCAUAAAUUAAUUGACAUAAUCUACUUGGCUAACUAAUAAUUAUUAGACAGUAGUGCACAAUGCAACUAAAUGGUUAAUUUGACACAUGGGCAGAUAGUCUGAUUAAGCCAUUGAGCACGACUGCUUUCCCCUUGACAAGUAAAGUUAUCUGGUGUUAGACAGAAUAAAAAUUAUAAUAAAGUAUGAUGCAACAAAAUUUUAGUGUCUGGUGAAACUAAGAUGGCUGAUUAAUAGUGAUUAUUGGUUAUUACUUUUUAAAAUAACAUGCGUCCAAGGUCUUUGCCAGAAGAAGUUGCGCCAGAUGGUGGUUUGCCUAAUACCAGAUGGUAGCGGGUGGUGCCCAGAUACCUAAUGGCACCAGAUAGUAGUCUACAGACAGGGUUUUUUUCAGGAUUUUCUCUUGGGUCCAUUUUUGCAGAGAAGAUUGAGUUUAGCUGAACAGCUGGGGUGGCUGCACCCCCCCCCCCCUACCGCGGGAGGCUGACACCUAUGCUCAAUAAAUGUAGAACUGAGAUGGAAACUGGUAUAAACUGGUUAAAGAUGGCGAAUGCAUAGUUUUUCUUGUGUUGCAAGAUGAAUUCCAGCCAUUCUUUCUUAAUUGUCAGGUUUCCAACUGAAAACUAAUUUCCACACGUCACAAAAUUUUAUAACUCAAACAUCUUCAUUUUUACUGUACUGAAACUUUGGUGAGAAGAUUGAGUUUCAAAACUUAAUUCAAGAUUUAAUUUUUGGGCCUGUUUAACGGCCCUAAAAAAUCCCUGAAAAAAACCCUGGUCUACUGGGUACAGGUCUGGAGAAAGCCUGUCUCUGGUUAGCAUAUGUAUAUUUGUCAUACCCUGCAUCACCUUGUACAUACAAAUAUGAACUGGCUUUGUUAUUGGUUAAAUAAAGGCUGUUUAUUACAUCCACAGUUACUAGUCCCUUUUACACUGUAGGUUAAUGAUAAGUCUCAAGGUCAUUGUUCUGGCAUAUUUUGUAUAAAGUAAUGAUUACAUUCUCAAUAAGUAAAAUUUUCUUUUUACAGAUUCUAAGAUGAUGGAUCUUUGAUGGCAAUUGCAUGCUGUGUUUGGAACAGUAUUAAUUAAAUGUGCAUGAGGAAAUCAAUGGAUUUGGUGAAUGAACAAUGGUAUAAAUAAUAUUGAUUGUGAAAUGGACAAAAUGUUAAACAAAAUAUAUUGACUUCAGGAGAAACCAGGGUUUUUUCAGGGAUUUUUUGGGCCCUUUAAGCGGCCCCAAAAACUCAAUCUUGAAUUGAGUUUUGAAACUCAAUCUUCUCACCAAAGUUUCAGUGCAGUAAAAAUGAAGUUGUUUGAGUUAUAAAAUGUUGUGACGUGUGGAAAUUAGUUUUCAGUUGGAAGCCUGACAAGCCAUCUUUAACCAGUUUAUAGUGUCCCUGUUUUAACACAUUCCGUCUCAAUUACAUUUAUUGAGUGCAGGUGUCAGCCCACCGGUAGGCGGGGGGCCGGUGCAGUCACCCCAACUGUUCAGCUAAACUCAAUCUUCUCUGCAAAAACGGACCCAAGAGAAAAUCCUGGAAAAAACCCUGGGAGAAACUCAAUUCACUACAACACAUUGCUGUGCUAUCAGAACUACUAUAAUUUCAGUAAAUAUACAAGUUAUUUUCUUAGAAUGAGAG